CGGUUGAUCCUGCCGGACCUGACUGCUAUCGGAUUGAUACUAAGCCAUGCGAGUCAUUGUAGCAAUACAAGGCAUACGGCUCAGUAACGCGUAGUCAACCUAACCUAUGGACGGGAAUAACCUCGGGAAACUGAGAAUAAUGCCCGAUAGAACACUAUACCCGGAAUGGUUUGUGUUCCAAAUGAUUUAUCGCCAUAGGAUGGGACUGCGGCCUAUCAGUUUGUUGGUGAGGUAAUGGCCCACCAAGACUAUUACAGGUACGGGCUCUGAGAGGAGUAGCCCGGAGAUGGGUACUGAGACACGGACCCAGGCCCUAUGGGGCGCAGCAGGCGAGAAAACUUUGCAAUGUGCGAAAGCACGACAAGGUUAAUCCGAGUGACUUGUGCUAAACGAAUCUUUUGUUAGUCCUAGAAACACUAACGAAUAAGGGGUGGGCAAGUUCUGGUGUCAGCCGCCGCGGUAAAACCAGCACCUCAAGUGGUCAGGAUGAUUAUUGGGCCUAAAGCAUCCGUAGCCGGCUCUGUAAGUUUUCGGUUAAAUCUGUACGCUUAACGUACAGGCUGCCGGGAAUACUGCAGAGCUAGGGAGUGGGAGAGGUAGACGGUACUCGGUAGGAAGUGGUAAAAUGCUUUGAUCUAUCGAUGACCACCUGUGGCGAAGGCGGUCUACCAGAACACGUCCGACGGUGAGGGAUGAAAGCUGGGGGAGCAAACCGGAUUAGAUACCCGGGUAGUCCCAGCUGUAAACUAUGCAAACUCAGUGAUGCAUUGGCUUGUGGCCAAUGCAGUGCUGCAGGGAAGCCGUUAAGUUUGCCGCCUGGGGAGUACGUACGCAAGUAUGAAACUUAAAGGAAUUGGCGGGGGAGCACCACAAGGGGUGAAGCCUGCGGUUCAAUUGGAGUCAACGCCGGG
rnacentral:rRNA from 1 species